AUUUAUAUAGUUUAAAUAAAACAUUACAUUUUCAUUGUAAAAAUAAAAAUAUUUUUUUUAUAAAUA
rnacentral:tRNA from 1 species